GAAAAACAGCAAAAGUUCAGAUAACGUAUGCCACUAAUUAUUAUUCUAUCAGUUUAGCAUAUAAAGUCCGUUUGAAGAGAAAAUCUGCUGAAAAACAGCUUCUAAAUUAUGAUUUAAUUAUACCAAAAGUAUUCUAUAAGCUCUCUAUAAUAUUUAAGACUUUCAGCUGUAUUUUAUGCGUCUGCUUCAGCUUGAGCUUAGCUCAGGAAUGAGACACAGAGCCGGGGAGGACAGGAAAAUAUGUUUGCAUCCAACUUGUCGCAGAUGAAGGUGGGAAGGAACAGAGCAACCAGCAAGGAAGCAAGGGAAAGAGCAGGAGCCAAAGUAGAAACUAGACGAUGGCUUGUCCAGGCGUCAACAAUUGGCGGUGCCUUUUAACGUGUAUUAAUAAUUCAGGCUCACGUAGAAGUUGGCGUCACUUAACGAACAGCUCCAGGCGAAAGAGAAAGGAAGGAAGUGAGAGAGAGAGAGAGAGAGAGAGAGAGAGGGAGAGUGUGUGUGGGCUACUUGGCGCCAGGCAAAGUAAAGUGCAAGAAAACAACAACAAGGUGCACGAAAACAAACAACAAUUUUGAGGAAAUCUGGCGAAAAUCACAACAGUCAACAGAAACAACAGCAACAACAACAACAACAGGAGGCAACGUACAUAAACAGAGCUCAAUGUGAAUCCUGGGCAGCGAAGCAAUGGCUGUCGUUGGCUGCAGACGCGAAUCUGCGGCCAGAGGUAGCUGGUAAACGAAAGCAAGCUGGGGCACAUCCUUGCUGGGAGGCUGUCGAGGCUCAGGUUCAGGCUGUAAGGUAUGCGAAACGAAACAAAAAGCGGCUUGGCACGUUCCCAUACAUAAAUAACGAUUUGGAAGGCCGUUGGCUGUUGCUGCCGGAGGCCUGUUAUGAUGACGUUUAUAUCUUGCUCUCAUUCUCAUUGUCUCUUUCGUUCACUGUCUUUGUGUGUUUGUGUUUCUUUAUGCCUGACAUUAAGUAUACGCCGCAUGCAGCAGCCUCAACUUGUCUGCGCCCAGAUAAAAAAAUAUGUUACUCAAAUGGCAAAUUUGAUGUCUGCUGCCCCGUUCGCAUAAAGAAAAGAACAGAGAAUAACAGAAAAAGCAAAUAAUAUAAGAAAACAAAAUAUAAAACAGGCCAGCGAAAUCGGUAUCUUCUGUUGGCCUUUACGAGACAGAUCAUUAGUAUUCCACAUUUGUCUCUGGCCAAACACUUUAUUAUGAAUUCACUUUGGGGAAUUUAUGAUGUUGAACUGAUUCAUAAAUUAUAUGUAAAUUUAUCAUUAAAUGCACAAAAAUAAAGCUUGGCACUUCUGGCGUGAUUCUGUUCGAGAUAA